rnacentral:sRNA from 1 species
UACUGAAAUAUGAAUGUGUAGUGCCUA